rnacentral:rRNA from 1 species
UACAGAGGUCCCAAGCGUUGUUCGGAUUCACUGGGCGUAAAGGGUGCGUAGGCGGUCGGGUAAGUCUGACGUGAAAUCUUCAAGCUCAACUUGGAAACUGCGUCGGAUACUAUUCGGCUAGAGGAAUGGAGGGGAGACUGGAAUACUUGGUGUAGCAGUGAAAUGCGUAGAUAUCAAGUGGAACACCAGUGGCGAAGGCGGCUCACUGGACCGGUACUGACGCUGAUGCGCGAAAGCGUGGGGAGCAAACAGG